rfam:Saccharomyces castellii strain NRRL Y-12630 mitochondrion, complete genome.
GUCUUUAUGGCUUAAUGGUUAAAGCAUCUCACUGUUAAUGAGAAUAUAUAAGUUCAAUUCUUAUUGAAGACG